rnacentral:rRNA from 1 species
UACAGAGGUCUCAAGCGUUGUUCGGAUUCAUUGGGCGUAAAGGGUGUGUAGGUGGCGCCGUAAGUCGGGUGUGAAAUUUCGGAGCUUAACUCCGAAACUGCAUUCGAUACUGCGGUGCUUGAGGACUGGAGAGGAGACUGGAAUUCAUGGUGUAGCAGCGAAAUGCGUAGAGAUCAUGAGGAAGACCAGUGGCGAAGGCGGGUCUCUGGACAGUUCCUGACACUGAGACACGAAGGCCAGGGGAGCAAACGGG